AGUGCAUGUGUGUGUAUUAAGGGAAAACGAAGUUUGCCUUCAAAAUAUGUGUCGUAUAUUUUCAGGUUGAUUCGUAAGAAAGAGGAACAGGUGAAAAUAUCCAACAACAAGUGACGGAAUGGUUUAGUAAAAAAAAUAUUGAGAGAAAAAAAGGAUAUCCAAAACUAUGCUGUUUUCCUUGGGAGUUUUAAGGGUAUAUUUCGAUCCUGGUUUAAUCACCAUAGUAUGGUAAAGUGGAAUUGUUCUGAGAAGACACUGCGCUAUGGUCUAUCUCUGCCCUUCGUACACAUCAUGUUAUUGCGGUUUGGAGUCUUUCUGUGCAUACUUGGAGCCGUUACCCAAACGGCGGGGGCAUGUGCCCCGUGCCCCAGUCUGUGUUCCUGUGCCCUCAGAUCCGGCACCACCGACGAGUGCGAGGUGGACUGUCAAGGGAGGGGUCUCAAGUCGUUACCGACGGAAGCGGAACUGCCCGCUUCAUCAAUGUGGAAAAUUGUAAAGCUGUAAGUGUCAGUAUCGGUUAGUAGGGAACUAUACUAAUGUGUACCAGGCAUCCGGUUUGAUUGUAGUAUACCCACAAAAAGAUGCCAAAAUUGUUAGCAAUCAGGAUUUUAUAGAGGUUUGUCAGACUUCUGUAUCAAACUGCCUGACAAAGAUUUAUUCUGAACAAAAUUGUGUUUGCCAAAAGCCUUGUUCUUAAAGAGUUUGCCGUCCAGAAACGGCCACCUCUUUUGGAGCAUGUAUCUAUGAGAUAAUUGCUUUGGUCUGUGUGUGUGUGUGUGGGGGGGGGGUUUAAUAUCUUUUAAUACUGAUUUUCAUUAUGUAAGUCUCAAAUAUACACGGCAGUUGCAUAUUUAUUGAAGAAAAAAAAUGAAAU
rnacentral:misc_RNA from 1 species